rnacentral:tRNA from 1 species
GGCGGUGUGGUGUAGCGGUUAGGGAACUGGACUUGAAAUCUAAAGGUCGCAGGUUCGAUUCCCAGGUGGGACACUGCCA